AACAGCCGCGGUAAUUCCAGCUCCAAUAGCGUAUAUUAAAGUUGUUGCAGUUAAAAAGCUCGUAGUUGAAUUUCGAGAUCAAAUUGUUGGUCGUGCCUUGGUACGUACUGGCAUUAUUGGUUUCUCCCUCCUGAAGAACCAUGAUGUCAUUAAUUUGGUGUCAUGGGGAAUCAGGACUGUUACUUUGAAAAAAUUGAGUGUUUAAAGCAGGCUCGCGCUUGAAUACAUUAGCAUGGAAUAAUGAAAUAGGACGUUUAAUUCUAUUUUGUUGGUUUCUAGGAUUGACGUAAUGAUUAAUAGGGAUAGUUGGGGGCAUUAGUAUCCAAUUGUCAGAGGUGAAAUUCUUGGAUUUAUUGAAGCUAACUACUGCGAAAGCAUUUGCCAAGGAUGUUUUCAUUAAUCAAGAACGAAAGUUAGGGGAUCGAAGACGAUCAGAUACCGUCGUAGUCU
rnacentral:rRNA from 1 species